AGAGAAUGUUUAUUUCGUGUUGUUGGAAGGAGUCUCCAGUGUCAGAGCGAGAUCAGGGUUAAAGCUGUGACUUUAUUUUCAGCAAGAGAAAGUCUUCAGGACAGAAAAGUUUGUACUUUUUCAUCAGUAUCCGGACAAGUGUUGAGGGAAGGACUGUUUCUAGCUGUAAUAAUGAACACGAUAACAGGAAAUAACAUGUUUUUCUGGCCCUAACACAAGAUUAAACAUAACUAUAAAUAUAUAAUAAGAAAAAAGAACAAUUGUAAAUGGUGAUGAAUAAAAGACUUCAUGUUGUGAUGAUAACAGAAACUCUGCUUUGAUUCAUUCUUGAUUAUUUUUCUGUAACAAAACCUUCCCAAGUGUUUUAUUCCUUACUUUCUGUCACUGAGCUUAACUCCUUCUCAAUACAGGAGCAGGAGAAAGCCGUCUGUGUGAAAUAAACCAUCACCACGUAAACAUUCCUACAUUUAGGUUUCCUAAUGUGUUCCUUAGAUAAGUGAGGUGUCUUCUAAAAAUGAUUCGAUUUGGUUCCCUUUCUGAUAGAGAAACAUUCUGUUGUAGAGAUUUACAUAGUACCUUAUCAUCCACUCAUCUAUCCUGUGAGCAGCGUGUGGUUGUGGGUUGAACACCUCCAUAGUGGUCAUGGACGCUCCAUAUUCAAAUAGAGUGGUGUAUAAACAGCAUGUUCUUGGCUGCUCUAGUUUCCAGUGAGCUCUGUGAGAGAUAACACUCCCAUACACUUUAAACCUGGGUGAAGCAGAACUCAGAGAAGGAUGAUUUUAGGACAGUGUAUUUUAUUGCUACUCAUUUCAUAUUCUUAUGGACAGUCCCUGACUUCCUCUGAGUCUGUGGUGAAGAGACCUGGAGAGUCGGUCACUCUGUCCUGUACUGUCUCCGGAUUCUCAAUGGGCAGCUACAGGAUGCACUGGAUCCAUCAGAAACCAGGACAAGGACUGGAGUGGAUCGGGCGCAUUGACACUGGCACUGGCACAAUAUUCACUCAGUCUCUACAGGGCCAAUUCUCCAUCAGUAAAGACACCAACAAAAACUUGCUGUACCUAGAAGUGAAAAGUCUGAAAGCUGAAGACACGGCAGUUUAUUACUGUGCACGAGAGUCACACUGACACAACAGACUCCAGAGCUGUACAAAAACUUACACAAGCACGUCAUCGUGAGCUGUAAAUUUUCCCUCAGCAGGAAGCUGCACCCCAGAGACCUUUAUUAUAAACAUCAUCCAUUCACACUCAGCACUCAGGUCUUCCUCUUUAUAACAAUCUCUUCUAGCAGUUAUAAUUAUUAAUAAUAAUAAUAAUCAUUAGCAAGCGUUAAUCCUGACGUGAGACAGUACAAAUACAAGCUUUCAGGGUUGCUGAGGGAGUUUGAGAACUGAUUUCAGGUCUUUAGCAAACUCGAGACAGAAUUCGCAGUUUUUCGCUCACCAUUCACAGUCAGAGCUUCCGGUGUGCCCGUUGACAUGCAACGUGAAAUAAUUGAUUUGCAGUGUGAUGUAAAAUUGAAGGAUAAAUUUGCCUCUGUGGGCUUGGACACAUUUUAUCAGUAUCUCCUGCCAAGCUAUCCUAAAUUAAAAGCACUGGAUGCAAAAAUGUUGUGCAUGUUUGGGACUACCUACCUUUAUGAGCAAGUUUUUUCACUAAUGAACGUUAAUAAAAGAAGCUGAACUCAAAGCUCACACAUAAGCACUAAAAUGGGAUUCUGGCUGCUACUCAGGACAUAAUGCCUGAUAUUGAUGCACUUGUGCAGAAUAAAAGAUGACAAAGAUUUUCUUUUUAAAACAGCUGCCACUUGAGAUUUUAUGUGUGUGGAGUCAAUUCAUGUAUUUAGAAUUGCUUCCAGGAAUUGGAAAUUGGAUUUUAAACAAUUUCUGUAUUUUGAAGUUUGAUUUAUGUUAACAUGCAGGACAGUGUUUUUAAGUUCCACAAACCUGUGACUAAAUGUUUUGCACUAUUGUACAAUAACUGUGUUCAGUUUUUAUGCACAAUGCACUUAA